rnacentral:lncRNA from 1 species
UUAUACACAAUAGUGUUAAUAUUUGGACUGUUAUACCCUUCACUUAAAUUCUUUGAUCCUUCCAAAGAUCCGUUCAGACUUCUCAAUGCCUCUAUUUGUGUUCUAUUCACAUUGGUUAAAUAUCCCUGGCCCACCUUGUUUGAAAGAGUUGCACUUUCCAAGCUACCUGUUUGACUUCCCAAGGUAGCAUUUGAAUUUGCUUGACUUGAAUCUAGCCCUCUUCUUGGACUAAUUAAUUGUUGCAAGUUACCGUUGAGCCCUUCCAAUGCCCCUCCUUGUGGGCUGUUCACACUCUUUGAGUCAUCUUGGCCCACCGAUAUUAAAUGUUUGGCUCCAAUCAAGGUAGAUGGUUGUUUUUCCAAGUGCCUUUGUUGGGUUCCCAAGGUAGCAUUUGAAUUUGCUUGACUUGAAUCUAGCCCUCUUCUUGGACUAAUUAAUUGUUGCAAGUUACCGUUGAGCCCUUCCAAUGCCCCUCCUUGUGGGCUGUUCACACUCUUUGAGUCAUCUUGGCCCACCGAUAUUAAAUGUUUGGCUCCAAUCAAGGUAGAUGGUUGUUUUUCCAAGUGCCUUUGUUGGGUUCCCAAGGUAGCAUUUGAAUUUGCUUGACUUGAAUCUAGCCCUCUUCUUGGACUAAUUAAUUGUUGCAAGUUACCGUUGAGCCCUUCCAAUGCCCCUCCUUGUGGGCUGUUCACACUCUUUGAGUCAUCUUGGCCCACCGAUAUUAAAUGUUUGGCUCCAAUCAAGGUAGAUGGUUGUUUUUCCAAGUGCCUUUGUUGGGUUCCCAAGGUAGCAUUUGAAUUUGCUUGACUUGAAUCUAGCCCUCUUCUUGGACUAAUUAAUUGUUGCAAGUUACCGUUGAGCCCUUCCAAUGCCCCUCCUUGUGGGUUGUUCACACUCUUUGAGUCAUCUUGGCCCACCGAUAUUAAAUGUUUGGCUCCAAUCAAGGUAGAUGGUUGUUUUUCCAAGUGCCUUUGUUGGGUUCCCAAGCUGUCUUUCCACGUCCUUUCUCCACUUCCCAAGUCAUCCUGACCCACAUAAUUAAGAAUUGAAAUUAUAUUUUUUUAAAAUUACCCAUAUUUUUUAGCAAAUGUAUAUAAGUUCAGGGUAAAUUUGCAAAAUUUACCCUAUUUUCAGGCGACCGCCUAGGCGUCGCCUGAAACGCCUAGGCGACCAUGCGGUCAUGGCCAUCGCAUGACCGCAUGGUCGCCUAAAAAACCUUGG